CCUAAUUUUGAGAAGGCCCUUGUCCUUCAACUUUUUGAUUUGAAAAGAAAGCGGGGGGAGAGAACGGAUUGGUACAUAGCCCAAAUUGCGCUCCAAUUCUCCCACUCUCACAGUCCUUUUUCUUACUCUUACGAAACACUACACGCUACACACAAUUCUUCUGGUCACUAAAACUCUCGCCCUGAAAUUGCACUUGCGCAAACUUUGAGUUCCUUCUGUCGUGUAAAGAUGAGUUUUUUUUUACCAUUUGAAAACCCCAUUGGAGAUGCAGUGUCCACAGUCCGAUUUGCUCCGCAUUCCAACAAUCUUCUCAUUUCUUCUUGGGAUUCUAGUCUUAGAUUGUACGAUGUGGAUAGCUUUCUGCUUAGGUUAGAAGCUCCUUCACAAGCUGCACUUCUCCAUUGUUGUUUUCAUAGUGAGACUGUUGCUUUCAGUGCAGGUUCUGAUGGUUGCCUUAGAAGGUAUGACUUGCAUUUAGGAAGUAAUGAUACAAUUGGAAGUCAUAGUGAUAUAGCAACGAGUGUUGAAUAUAGUGAUCAAACAAGUCUAGUGAUAUCCGCUGGUUUUGACAAGAAUAUAAUGUUCUGGGAUUUGCGCUUGGCAAAGUCUCCGGCAUACCUGAGAAAUUUGGGCGCAGAAGUUGCGUCCAUGUCUCUCUCUGGGUUUGAUUUGAUGCUAGCUGUUGGGAAAUCAGUAAAUGUAUAUGACCUGCGAAACAUGGGGAAGCCAGUUCAUUUUAAAGAAAAUCACACGGAUGUACAAAUAAAAUGCAUUAGCUCAUUUCCUUAUCGUAGAGGAUAUGCUGUUGGAUCAGUAGAUGGACGGGUAGCGUUGGAGUUCUUGGAUCCAUCCAAUUCUAACGAAGGAUAUACAUUCCGGUGUCACCCCAAAUCAAGAGAUGGAAGAACACAUCUAGUUUCAAUCAAUGACAUAGUCUUCAAUCCUCUUGUAUGUGGCACUUUUGUUACCGGUGAUAACGACGGAUAUAUUAUCACAUGGCAUAAUGAAAGUAAAAGAAGAUUAUGUGAGUUUUCUAGAUACCCAAACAGCGUGGCGUCUUUAUCAUUCAACCAUUUGGGAGAACUUUUGGCUAUUGCAUCCAGCUAUACUUACCAAGAAGCUAAUGAAAUGGAAGUGUCCCCCCAAAUAUUUGUACAGAAGAUGGAUGACAGGUAGGUCAUUUUCUGCUGGAGAUUCAAGUAAAGACAUGACGACCGUUGUAAUUUGCUCGGUGGAAAAGAAGACCGAGUCGACCUAAUUCGUUAUUGACAUUGCUGAACUUGCCACGGAAGAUCAACCUGGAAAAGAUUUUCACGCCUUUUCUUAAAUUUGAUUUUUAAAUGAUUGGUUACUGACGUUCAAAAUUUGUAACUUCAUUGUUGAAAUAAUUCGAGAGAUUCAUUGCUCCGAUUCAUCGCUGUAAUGUUUAACGGACCUCAUUGUGAAUGUUCGUAUAUAUAUAUAUAUAUAUAUAUAUAUUCAGUUUGAUUUUCUUUGCUGUU